CCUAACUCCCAAUCGCCGCCACCUACUACCUCGCCUCCCUCUCCCACAACUCUCCGUCAGCGAGCAGUAGAUGAGCCCGCCCCCGCUGCCGGCCGCCUACACGCCGGUGUGCCCUUCCUCACCCCAGCGGCGGCGCUCGGAUCUCGCCCCGCCCUGCCGCGGCAGAAGACCAAGCCGGCGAAUUCGCUCCUCCGCCCGAUUCACCUCCACCCAGGCCGCCUCUCGCCUUCACCCGCCCUCGACGCGCAGGGAUUCCCGCAUUCGUUCAGAUGGACGCGGAGGACGCGCUGGGCUUCUGGGAGGACGGCGCCAUCCGCUUCAUCUUCGGCGAGGAUGUGGACGCCAGGGUAGAUACGACGGCGGCACCGGUGCGAGUGCCUUCGACAGGUCGCUCAUGGAGCUCCACGUCUUCUAGGAGGUCUUCUCCAGGGUGCCGGGCAGAAGGAGGGCGAUGUCUGGUAUGAUUGCAUAGUAGGCUACUUGGUGCUUCCAAUAACAAUCAGCAUGGCAUGAUACAUAGUUUCCAUCAGGAGGGCCGACGCCAAGAUGAAUAAUAACUUCAAUAGUUUAAAUGUUCUCUUUGUGUGAGUUGGAUUGUACUAUUUCCUAACUUUGUUGAGUGAUAUUUUG